CUGUCUUAUGAUCUAACGGUUUUAAUGACCAUUGGGUUCCAUUCCAUCGUGAGUCUUUGUGUCCAACAAACAUCUUUUAGUCAUACUGAACUUUGAAAAUGUCUCGACUUAUAUAAAAUCAUCUAUUUAUGAUGUUAUCGACUCAUUUCUUGGAAGUCAGUUUUUUCUUUCCUUCUUGACAACUUUCAAACAAAUCUGCACAUGCUCAUAGUCUCGUAGUCUAUUUCCUGACAGCUUAGAAGCAUGUGCAACCUCGUUAGUUUUAUUACAUUUCAACUUCAGCAUAUUAUUAUUUGAUAAGGGUUGUUUGUGUAGAUUUAGUCUCUUUCAUACCGUAGAAUGUCUCAAUCUUAUUAGACCAUCCUCCAUGCAUCUAACAAGUUUGUGUGAGAAACCAAAUGAACCUCUUGGGACUAAUAUCAAUUGGAGAGCAACUAUCAUAUUCUGAAUUGCUUUAAAAUUAAUAAUUUUUCGUGUUAUUUUUUCCCCUUAAAGUUCUAAUCUGAAUUGCUUCAUCUUCUUACAGGUUAUAUCAUCCCAACUGCCGUUACUUAUGCUAGACUAACAAGUUCAAGUAAGUGGCAGGAAGCUUCUCUUUCAGGUCUUUGGAUACACGUAAAUUAUUUGAAGCAUUCUUUUCCAGCCUAACAGAUAGUUUUCCUCCAUUUUCUGUUCUUUCCAGAGCAGGCGUAAAUGUAAAUCCAACUAUUGUAGUUGACAGCAGUAAUAGGAGGCAUUUGAUUAAACAAUUGAAUUCAUCAUCCAACUGUGCGUUGCUUUAAGAAGG
rnacentral:lncRNA from 1 species